GCCUCUCGGCUGCUUCCGCCGCCGUUGCGGGGCGGGUUUGCUGUCUGUGCGGCAGCCCGUGGGGGCGGGGGCUGCGGUGCUCCCAUUCCCGGGGCCGCGCGUGGCACUGCGGGGGGGUGAAGGCCCGCCGGGCUGCGGGGCUCCUCCUUCCCCACGGCGCUUUCCAACAGGGACGAAAGCACUGCAGGCCCUCAGCUCCGGCCUCCGUUUGCUCCGCUGCUUUAAGCCCGCUUGGAAACGAGUGGGAAAAGCAGCACCGAGCUCUUAAAAAACCAAACGGAAGCACCUUGCCACGCUUGCGACUUGAAGAAAGAAACUUGGUGUGAUUGCUUUUUAAUCGUAUCGGGUCGUUCCCUUUCAGUCGGCCCUCGCAGAACGACCCCCGGCGCCCACCAGGCAGUGCAGUGCAUGCAGGGCUGCGUACAGAGCUGACAGCGAUGGGAAGCUUUCCUCUGUGCAGACGGCAGCGCCGCUCCCCUGCAGCUCCACCCCGCUCAGCUCCAGCACCGCCGUGGUCAGCUGCUGCUGCUGCUGCUCGCUGAAGGAGGAGAGCAAACCGGCAGCAGCGCCGAGCUCUGCGCUCUGCUCCAGGAUGCUCCUCACCUUUGCAACAACAGGAGAAGCAAAAUCAGCGUUCUGAUGAUCCCCAGCUGGGAGUUGAGGCCCCACGAUCUCUUCUGUCAGCUGUGGGUGUUCUGAGCUACGCACGUUUAUACACCUCUCACCCUUAAUGUGUUUGAUUCCUGCCAGGUUUGGAGCAGUGGCUCAUUUCCCUCUCCCCAGCAUUACCUUGAGCUGUGAUUCGCUGCCCAUCCCAUAAUACGAACGUUGCUUUGCUUGAGCUCCCAUUACCCCCACCCUCUGUUUUGAGCCAAGUGUCAAUGCUGUGUUUUUUCUCACCAGUUUAAGCUGUUGGGGCACAAUCUCCACUUCCAAAGACUCCAGCAAUAGCAGCAGCUGAUCCUCCGUUAGCUCUGCAGAAUUAAAAGAGAUUUGUGCCGCGAAGGCAGCGAAUCACCCCGGGGUGUUUGGAGAGGUGAGAGGGGUGACCGCCCUGCAUGGGGUGCCUGUGUGCCCAGCAGUCCUUUGGGCACUUCAGACUGCAUGAAUUGCACAGCCUCCCUAUGGGAUGAAUGGAGGUGUUGCUCUGUGCCUGCAGCCCUUACCACUGAAGGCAUCCAGAGUGUAGGAGAUGGCUUCUGUGAGGCUGAGGAGAUCACAGCGUGGAGAACCCUUAAGUGUGCUGAGCAGGACUUCUAAGUCUGGGCUCUGUGUUGUCAGCUCACAGUUAUCGGGGUCAUCGAGGACUGCUUCCAUCUGUGAGAGAAAGGGGAGGAACUCUCAGGGUUUAAUUGAAGGUCCUGCAAAGGGUUCUUUGCGAUGCACCCACAGAACCCAUCAAUCUCAGCCAUUCUGGGUGCUGAUGUGGUGAGCUGUGCCACAGCUGUGUGUUGAUAACACAUAACAGUCUUUGUGCUUAGAAACUCUGCUUGCCUUCCCGCUCAGCUCCUCAAGGAGGUUCCUGUCUCUCAUCACAGCUUUGAUGGUCUUCAGAACGAUGGCGUUCAGCUCACCAGCCAGCUGGCACAGAAUGCCACACUUCUCCUUCACUUCUUCCUCCAGAGCUUCCACUUCUGUGUGUGCAAAACCUGCAAGCCAGAAAGUGACCAAAUGUCCCACGUUUAAAUUAGGCAGUCCUGCAGUAAGAUCAGUGCCAGCCCCGUAUUUAGGAUCUGAAACACCUCUGUGAAUGCUGUCAAGGCAGCAGCACGUCGUGGAGACUGUAUUCUGUCCGUCUGUACGAGGGGGACGGCUGGAAUCUGGCUGUCCUCUUCCUUCGAACCAGGCAAAGGAGCCUGAAGUGGUCUUGGUCUGAGAUGCUGUGGACAGGAACCAGCUCUCCUUUGGGAUCCAUUUGCUUUGCUACUUUCUGGGUGACUUUUUUAAACAUCCUGCAGCAGCUGUAGGGAUUCUCGGCCCAAGGGGAGGGGUGCAGUCGUGCCUUAGGAAAGAAGAUGUGCAAAAUGAGCUGGGAUACGAGCAGAAGGUUACAACCAAACAUCUUCCUGUUAGUUUUGGAGGAUAAUAACCCCCUCCCCCCAAAGAAUACAACUUGCAUGGGGUUACUUUCAGAGGGCACAUGGAGAGGCCUUGAUAGCAGCUGUGCCUUGCUAAUUAACCUUAGUCAGGCUCAUCCCCAUUUGUUGUGCAGCUUGCAGGCCUGGGUUAGGCUGAGGGCACAGCUGGCUGUUUGUAAGGGAGCUUUGCUGUUGGAGCCCAUGGCUGCUCUUCCAGCAGGCGUUUUAUCUGCUGCGUAUACCAUCACAUAGCACAGCAACCUGAGCUGGGCAUGGCUAUUUAACCUCUGUACCACCUGCUGGGCUCCUCAGUGCCUUAAUUACCGCGUUGCUCUCACAGAGGCUUAAAGAAAAUACAUCUUGAGCAAUUUCUUGCUGCUCUGUAGCUGUUGCUUUGCAGUGCUUCUGCAUUUCCCCCACGUUGGUGCCCGGCAGAGCUCUGCUGUUUCGAAACAAAGUGUUGGGAAAACGGUUUGGUCGAAGCCUUGAAGGAAGUGAAAGUGGUGGAGGUGAUGGGUUAAGGAAGGAGGGGCGCUCGGUGGGUGCCAGAAUGUUCCCCAGCAUUUUGGGUGUGCUUCUCAUGGAUCUGCACCGACCCCCCCAGACCCCAACAUCCCCACUCCUCUCCCUGCAUCCCUAUGGGGGGAGCUGGAGAUGCAUCCUGCUGGCGGAUCCUCGGCUCUCUAUGCAGAACUCUGGUUCUGCUUAUUGGCCUUUGGUUACACGUCCGUAAAAGCAGGACAAGCUUUGAUUUAUGAGCAGAACAGCUGGCUGUAGUUAAGGAGAAAAAGCUGCUGUGUUAUCCCUUCUGUGCUCUGCUUUAUCGUGUGGUGUUCACAGUGGAUCCCAUUGAACACCAACAGUUUGCUCCCCUCCCUCCCAAAGGAGCACUCUGUCACCUCCUGCCCAGGGAGGUGACCACAUCCACAAACCCCCUCAGUUCCAUUAAGGACACUCAGAUCCAAAGGCAGCCGUAACCAAAGUACAGUGAUUCUCAUUAAAACUGACUUGAAAAGUG